rnacentral:rRNA from 1 species
AUGGACCCAGCAAGCCUAGAAGCUCAGGCGUGCAAAGAGGCUAUAUCUUUAGCCAGGGAUCUGCAUGUUGAUUCAGUGUGCAUCGCACCAGAUUGCGUUGAAGUGGUAACCAACAUUGAUUCCAGAGUUCCCUGCUCUUAUGUUACUAUCACGCGAGAGAUCGACCGUCUUCGGCGUUCUUUCCGAGACAUCAAGUUCAUCCACGAGCGACGUCAACACAAUGGAGAGGCGCACUCCCUUGUCAAGGCUGCUUCCUCUCUUUCAACCGGGUGCCAUGUGUGGCUUUCUGUUUUGCCUGAUGUUAUCUGUAUCCCCAUGAACAUUAACAUUUAA